UUCAACCCAAACCAGUCUGGGAUUCUGUCAUGGUUCUGUACUGUGAAGCCACACUGGAUCCCCCAGCUGCCGCUCUGUCCCUGCCACACACACUGCUGUUAAUGCAACUGGAAAAACAACCUGGUUUCAUUGGGAAAAACAAUGGAUGCCAGCUACAAACCUGACUGAGGUGAUGUCUGCCAGGCUGGGAACCCAGCCCAGGGACCCAGAGCAUCCUUGACAAGCACAGACAGGAGCUCAGGGCAUUGCAGAUAAACACACAACAAAGACCCUGCUAUUACCUGCGGAACAAAGAGGCUGCUAUAACCUGGGGAACAAAGAAACCUCUGUAAGGAACUGACCUCCCGAGGCAGCAGAAGUCAGCAGCGGAUGCCCAGGAGCUGCUGUCCUGCACCCACUCUUGUAUCCAAACUAAAAGACAUAAAAUAACUCAUUUUCUACCCAAAACCAACCCAUUUGUUUUCUCUCUCUUUGAGCAUUACCUCCAGGUGAUCAUCCCUGUGUGACCCCGAAGCCUCACUGGGGACGUCUGGCUUUGGGCUCUGUGACAUCCAUCAGCUUUGAUGUGAGACUUCAUCCAUCAUCAGCUGGCCCCACUCCUGGAGGAUCGGCACCGCUAAAGCAAACAUCUGGGCUCCUGGAACUGUUCCUAACCUGUUUGUCACUGCUGGCACCGUGGGACAGAUGCAGUCCAUGAAUGGCUGAGGCUCAUCUGUGUCUGCUCACCAUGAAGAUCCUCCUGGUCUUCGCCUCCCUCGUGGCAGCCACCUGCAGUGAGCAGCUCUUCGUGGGGAAGGAUGGAGACCACCUCAGGCUCUCCAGCACUUGCAUGUUUUCCCUAUCUUGGCUGUUCUGCACCUGCACUUUUCACUUCCAACAUCCAACCUCCAACCACUGGUGGACUUCCCAACCCACUGAGUCAGUGCAGACCUUUCACAGCCUCCACCCAGACCACGAUGGCACCGCAUCAACACUGGAAUCUGAGCUCCUUUCCCCCUCCAGUGACUCCAUCCCAUGCUGAUGGCUCUGCCUCCCUGCAGGGACCAGGUCCUCCGCAUCACAGCCAGCAAUGAGGAGCAGAUUGCCCUGCUCAGGGCGCUGGAUGAGCAGACAGAGCUGCAGGUUGACUUCUGGCGUCACCCUGCCAGCCCUGGCCACCCAGCUGACCUGCGGGUGCCCUUCCCCAGCCUCCAGGCUGUCAAAACCCUCCUGGAAUCCAAUGGCAUUUCCUACAGCAUCAUGAUCCAGGACCUGCAGAAACUAGUGGAUGAGGAGAAGAAAGCCAUGGCAAAGCCAAGCAAGACAAAGAGGAGCGGCAGCACAUUCAAUUUUGCCUCCUACCACACGAUAGAUGAGAUCUACGACUGGAUGGACACGCUGGUGGCCGAUCAUCCCGACCUGGUCAGCAAGCUCCAGAUCGGGCAGAGCUAUGAGAACAGAUCCCUGUAUGUGCUGAAGUUCAGCACUGGGGGAUCCAACCGGUCGGCCAUCUGGCUGGACACUGGCAUCCAUUCCCGGGAAUGGAUCACACAAGCCACUGGUGCCUGGACAGCCAACAAGAUUGCUGAGGAGUAUGGCCAGGACCCUUCUGUCACUGCCGUCCUGGACAGCAUGGACAUCUUCUUGGAGAUCAUUGCCAACCCGGAUGGCUUUGCCUACACCCACAGCUCUAACCGCAUGUGGCGCAAGACGAGGUCCAUCAAUGCCGGCUCCCACUGCAUCGGUGUGGAUCCCAACCGGAACUGGGAUGCUGGGUUUGGAGGCUCUGGCUCCAGCAGCAACCCCUGCUCCGAGACCUACCGUGGUCCUUAUGCCCACUCCGAGAGGGAAGUGAAAGCCAUUGCAGACUUCAUCCUUGGUCAUGGGAAUGUGAAGUUGGUCAUCUCCAUCCACAGCUACUCCCAGAUGCUGCUUUACCCCUAUGGCUACAAGACAGCACCGGCACCUGAUCACCAGGAGCUGGUGAGAUGGUCCCAACAUGUAGACAUGGGGCUGUCAGCACCAGCCUUGGUGGAAAAGUCCGGUUGGAUCAUUCCAGGACCCUGCUCCUCUUGUUGUAGCCAACCUGAAGCCCAUCAAUUGGUUCUUGGAAUCAUAACAUCAACCAGGUUGGAAAAGACCUCUAAGAUCAUCAAGCCCAACUGUUGCCCAGCCCUGCCAAGGCCACCACUAGAAAAAGGGAGGGGGAUAGCAGGAUGUAGCUGCCAUCCAUCAAAAAAUAGGGUGUUUUGGGGAAAAGCAGGAGCAGAGGGGUUGGAAAACUGCUGGGAUCUAGGCUCUGCUGCCCCAAGAUCUUGGUCCACCAGGUCUCACCACUCUGGGGCUCUCCCUUGCAGAAUGAAGUGGCUAAAAAGGCAGUGAGUGACUUGGCUGCUGUAUAUGGGACAAAGUACACCUAUGGCAGCAUCGUGAACAGCAUCUACCUGGCUGCUGGCACCACCAUUGACUGGACCUAUGACCAUGGGGUGAAAUACUCCUUCACACUGGAGCUGAGGGACACGGGGUACUAUGGCUUCCUCCUGCCCAGCACCCAGAUCAUCCCCACUGCUACCGAGACCUGGGC